rnacentral:lncRNA from 1 species
ACUACGUGUGUGGUGCUGUGUUGUGCACUGGGAACAGAGCAGUGGGUCAGCUUUCCUAUCCUUCCUGACCACACUGAUGGCUCUUUAAGCCCAUGAAUGAGCAGAAGACAUUCCAGGCAAUCCAACCUGUGCUCAUGUAUUUUUAAACCAUUCAGAAAAAUGAAACACAAUCGCAUUAAACAUCUGAUGCCACUUACACUCUGUCCUGCCCCACUCAAUUAGAAAUCCUGGCUAAAAUAAUUAGACAAAAUACUACAUCAGAAUAAGGUAAAUUAAGGAUAUGAAAGGGAGAAAGAAAAUUCUAUACAAAUAAAUUGAGAGUCUCAGAUCAACUAACAGAACCCAGAAGAGCCCACGGACACUGUAAGGUCAACAUAAAAACAAUAGUAUUCUUAUAUAUAAACACCGACCAAUUAGCAAAGGUAAUGAUAGUAUGGUCAUCUGCAGAUAAUUAGAAUUUUCUUUCUCCCUCUCAUGUUUACCUUAUUGUUAUGUAGUAUUUUGUCUAAAGUAUUCUGUCCCUUGACAUGGCUUUUGAGCCAUUCUGUCCACACCCUCUGGAAACCCUGGAAACCCUCCCUACAGCAGUGUACCCUCACUGGCUCUCUUCUCCCCAUCAUGGCUCCUCUAUUCCUUUCCAGAUCCUGUUCCUGGCACACCCCUGGCUCUCAAUGU